AUUGAACGCUGGCGGCAUGCCUUACACAUGCAAGUCGAACGGUAACGGGCCUUCGGGUGCCGACGAGUGGCGAACGGGUGAGUAAUACAUCGGCACGUGCCCGAUCCUGGGGGAUAACGAGGCGAAAGCUUUGCUAAUACCGCAUACGAUCUACGGAUGAAAGCCGGGGACCGCAAGGCCUUGCGCGGACCGUGCGGCCGCUGGCAGAUUAGGUAGUUGGUGGGAUAAAAGCUUACCAAGCCGACGAUCUGUAGCUGGUCUGAGAGGAUGAUCAGCCACACUGGGACUGAGACACGGCCCAGACUCCUACGGGAGGCAGCAGUGGGGAAUUUUGGACAAUGGGCGCAAGCCUGAUCCAGCAAUGCCGCGUGAAGGAUGAAGGCCUUCGGGUUGUAAACUGCUUUUGUACGGAACGAAAAGCCUUCUUUUAAUACAGGAGGGUCAUGACGGUACCGUAAGAAUAAGCACCGGCUAACUACGUG
rnacentral:rRNA from 1 species